CGGAGGGUGUGCUCCCACUCGGCGUCGGGCCCCAGCAGGGCCGCCUCGCCGGCCGCGUCGCCGUCGGCCAGUACACCGGUCACCAACUCGUCGCCGUACUUGCCGGUGCCGAGCCGUUCGAACUUGCCGUGCGCGAUCAGGAUGACGCGGUCGGCCCGGGUGCCCUUCUCGGCGACGACGUCACCGGGGACGACGUCCCGCUGGGCGAACCGGCCGGCCAGCUCCUGGAGCGUGGGGUCGUCGGUGAAGCCGCGCAGGGGGGCCAGUUCCCGCAACUCCUGGGGGAUGACCCGGACUUCGGCGCCCUCGCUGACGAACUCCACCCGGCCGUCGCCCAGGGUGUGGGUCAGCCGCCGGUUGACGCGGUAGGUGCCGCCGGAGACCUGCGUCCAGGGCAGGACCCGCAGCAGCCACCGCGAGGAGAUGCCCUGCAUCUGCGGCGGGGUCUUGGUCGUGGUCGCCAGAUUGCGGGCGGCCCCGGUGUCCAGGCUGGAGCGCUGCGG
rnacentral:antisense_RNA from 1 species